AAAAUUCAGAGAUUAAGUUAAAAAUCUGCUAGCCUUUGCAUUCUAAAAAAAGUUCAGUACUUUAAGAGCUAAAAAACUGAAGAAUUCUAUUUUCUUUUACUGCUGAAAAAAAUAGUAAUUAUACUGUUAUUGUUUCAUUAAAUCAGAGUGUUUGUGUCUUGGUCUUGAAGAGCUUUGGGGUCAUUUUGGUCAUUGUUUCUGUUUGGUGUGGCUGUUGGCAUUCUGGUUUGGGUUUAUUGGAGUUCACUCUGUUUGGUGUUGCUGUGUUUCAAUCCUUCGGUUUGUGUUGGUUUUCUUGGGGUCAUUCGAGUCAUUCCUGGGUUUUAUUCGGCUGGGUUUCAUCUGCUGUUGUUUGUCGUUGUUGUUGUACUGUUAUUGCUCUGCUGAUUUCUCAUCUUCCUCUUCCUGCUUUUUAAUAUCAGGUACACUUUCGAAUCAACACUGAUGUAGCUGUGAGUUAUAAAAGAAAUGAAAUGCUAGGAUUAUUGAUGAACUAGUGUUGUACCUGUAGCUUAGAUAGAUAGGUGAUAAGUAUCUUAUAGUCUAGUUUCAUAAUUCAAUAAGAA
rnacentral:lncRNA from 1 species